CUUCCGAAUUCUACUCUUAAAGUCCCGAUCACAUGUUGCAACAAUUAGCACUUGUGCCUGUUUCCUAGAAAAUAGUUUGCAUAAAUAAAAGGGGGAACACAAUAAAUAAGCAGCAAAUGUGUUUUAAUUAACAAAAUGGUUCACUUAAAUGAUUAUUGAAUAUACAUUGCAAAACCAAAGGAUUUGGGGGAGUUCCAUUACCAUAAAGAAUGAAGAGAGUAAUCCUCACUGAUACGUAUGUCUUGGUUAUGAAUUCAAUAUUGUGAUAAAAAAAUUGCUACAUUUUUCAUAGUUCCAAAUCACAACACUGGAGAGCAGAUAUAAAGAUAUGUUAUUACUACCAAUUAUUCAAUUUACAUCUCAGUGUAGAAAUAAUCAUUUGUUUACUGAUGUAGAUGACCAUAUACUGUUGAGAUCUAAAAAGAUAUCAUAAUCCCAAAUGGUAGGAAAUUUACAAGGUUCAGAAAAGUUUACCAUCAUCUUAUUAUGAAGGCUCUUGCCUUCACUGUUGAACAAAAAAUAAAUGAAAAUUUGUUUUACCAUUCCUCAGGAUCCUAAUUCAAGUAAAAAGAACAGUAAAUAGACUAUUUCUCAUCCAGCCUGAAGAGCCAUUUAUCAGUAAUCAAAUUGCUACCAGGUGCUUCUGGAAUUUAGCUCAAAAAAAAAAAAAAGACACCUGAGUAAAACUCUAAACAAGGCCGUUGUCAGCAUAGGUACAUUUAUUAGUAUUCUCUCAAAUUGAGGAUACUUGGCAAUUAUGUUAUGCAUAAAAGGGACAUAUAAAACCAUAGUAAUAUAACUUCUUUCCUCUACUAGAUUAAGAGACAACCUUCGUAAAUUUGUUUAAAAAGAUGUUAUUCCCUAGGUGAUUUAUUCAAAUUUGUACCUGAGCCCCUACUGAUCUGAUGAGAAUUUGAUAAAAGGUUGUGUGAGAAACAGACAUACACUACAAAAGUCUGCCAUACAUAACUGAAAUGCUUUAGUAUUUUUAUCCCGUAAUAGUGUUAGUGUUAGAUCAUGAACGUGAUAUGCAUUAGCGCAAGCUAUCUACAUACAAUUGUAAACAUAUCACAGACUGCAAAUUUGAACUGUGUAUUCCAUGGAAAAUUGCGUAUGUAUAACCAGAAUGAUCAUUUGUUUAAUUGAAAGAGAGAAACAAAAGGAAUAUAUUAAGGCAAAACAAAGCACACUCACUCUAAUCUGGAUUUAGAAAUUGGUAUCCAGCAAAAUCCGGUACGCAAGUUGCCGCAGAAUGACUAGGACUAAAUAAUACAAAUUCAAACCAACGGAGAAAGAGAGAAAGCAAUAAAUUCAGAACCAAUUAAAAGGGAAGGCAAGGAGUGAGAAUCGAACCUUAUUUGUCUCUGGGUAACUUUUCCUUCAUAAGAUUUUUCUUGAGUUCAAAACCUCUUCUUUGUAGCUGAAUUAGAUAGGAUUUCAAGAAUUGAUAAUAGAACAAAACCAAGAACAAUGAAGGAAUCAGCAUUCGGCGAGAGAAAGAAAAACCUAACCUAUAGAUUUUCCUGGAAGUGACAACCUUUUUCACAAUAGCAAACUUUGGUUCCUUUUUAGCUUUUUACCCAUUAUCAGCACAGAGAAGGGGAUAUAUUAUGCAAGACCCAGGCCAGAACCAUAUAUCAAUAUCAGAUAUUGCGUUUAAAUUCACAAAUGAACCACCUCCCAAAUUACCUAUUUCAUUAAACACCAUAAAAAUUUAAUUGAAAUAUCAGAAUACGAAUAAAAACACAGCAGAUUCAGUUUCUUAGCAUAGCAUCGAAAUUGAAUGUGCCCACUUCAUGAAACGGUGUUCAUGAUCAGGUUUCAAUGAAUUCACGUGCGUUAUUGAAAUUGAAAGAAUAUAAUUAAAAGCAACAAUAAAGUUCGGAAUUUGGUAAGAUGGCGCUGCUUCUAGUGCAUGGGUAGAGCAUCCAACAGAACAGAAAAAAGAAAAAAAAAAAAAACAAACAAAAUAACAUCAACGAAAAAAAUUCAGUAGGCAGAAGCUUUACUUGAGAGCUGAAGGAAUAGAACCUACAUGGGUGAGAGCAUUGGCACGUGAGAAAGUGAGAGCGACUGCAGGUUUGCCAUCAGGGGUAGAAUAGAUUGGCAGUCCAACGGUCCAUGGAAGAAGGAAAAUUGACGGGGAAAAUAAUACGAAGGACCAAUACUAAACCGAUUCAAUCACUUGUUACAAAACAAGAGAACGUGA
rnacentral:sRNA from 1 species